rfam:Gossypium hirsutum cultivar TM-1 chromosome 20, whole genome shotgun sequence
UGUUAAAAAUUUUAUCCAUUUGUACUUUUAAAAACUGGUGUGGCUGAUAGAAUAACCAGACAAUAACGCGUGACGUGCUACAUGUACCUCAUGCUGAUGUACAAGAACCAAUUUUUAAUAGUAGGAAUGAAUGAAUUUUUUAAUA